AUACCGUGGACACCGUGAACACGGACUAACAGAAUAUACCUCCUGCACACGGGAUCUCUGCCUGUGUCAGAGAUCUGAUAUCACUGCCCACAUGCUCUCACCGAGGGGACACUCACCAGGAGGCCUUUGUAAAAGGUCUGGUAGGAAAGAAGCGUCAACUAAUUCCAACUAAGUCCAACCCAACUGAAUGCCUACUAUGAGCAAGGCUCUGUGCCGGGCAGGACAAUACAAAGGAACAUCAAUCCUGCAAGCCAUGAAGGCUAAUAUUACAGCUGUGAAAUUAGAGGAACUUCAAGUCAUUUACUGUAGUUGGAAGUACUGGGAUAUCCUGCAUGAGAGGAGCUGGCGGGAAGUGAAGAUGGAGAGAGGAUCAGGAGCUCCAUCUCAGAGAAUGUCAAGUGCAGAGAGCAUUUAUGAUUUUGGAGCAGGAGGAGAGGCUGAGCUGAUCAGAGGAGCAUCUUCAAAGUUUUACCUGGCAGCUGGUGUGGACCAUGGUUUACAUACAGGAGAGAUAGGAGGCAGGACAACCAAUUAGGCUAUGACAGUUGUCCCAGCAAGAGAUAAUGAGGACCUGAACCAAAGGGAUGGUAACGAGGGAAGAGGAGAGGGCAGAGAGGAUGAUCUGGGGAGUUACUGGACGAGGAGAAAGUUGGGAAGAGAGGGCUAAAGACGAGUUUGGUUUUGGACAUACUGGGUUUCUAGUACCCACCUGGGGCGGGGGGGCUCCCAGGAGGAGCUGUCCCAUAGGAAAUUGGGGGUGCUAGUUUUUGGCACCAGAAGAGGCUACAGGUAACAAAUUUUGGGGUCAUCAGCCUGGAGAUGUGGCUUAAGGUCAAGGAACUGAAUUCAGUAUGGACCAAGGGCCAUGGCAAACCUUUGGGGCACAGUGAUACAUACAUUGGAGAUGAUGUGAUUUUGUUGCCGACAAUUCCCCUUGAUGCUGAAAGCAGGAGUGGUCAGAAUGCUUGUUGUUGAGAAGACUGCUGGACAGGAACCCUCCCAGUUUUCCAGGAGGUCACCAACCCGCUGAACAUAACCCCAUUUCGCACUAUGGUAUUGUGUAAAUUAUAAAGUAAUCCCACUGACAUUAUCUCCUUUAAACCUCACAACAGCUCUCUGAAGAAUAUAGAGCCAUUUAUGGCAGAAGAAACUGGGACCCAAAGAGGUGAGACGACUUGCCCAAGAUCAAAGGGUUAAGAAGAACAGAGGGAGUGGAAAAUACCUUCCCGGCAAGCGUCCCGGCAAGCGUACUAUCACCAGCAAUCCAAGCCCAGGGCAGACCUCCCCAGUGAUCACUGAACUGUGUCCCGCGGAGACUGUACUUCAGCUCAUGGACCUUCCCCGUGGAGCAUGGAGCACACCGAUCGGUUCCUCUAGCAUGCCAGCUUGGAUCCAUCUGCCAAUCAGAGCUUAUUGAUAAAAUACUCCUCAUUGAUAUGCUCUAUGAAUAUUAUUUCAUAGCAUAAUGUUUUCAUACAGAUGGGGCAAGAGCCAGUUGGAAAUCAAAGUGGCUGGUAACAGAGAAGAAAUAUUUUACGUGGCCACCAUGCUGUAAGGAGGCCCAAGCAGCCAUGUGGAGAGGCCAACAUGGAGGAGAGCCAAGGCCCCUGGCUGACAGCUGACCUGACAUCCCAGCCAGGAACCAGCUCUGAUCAAAGCGUACCGAUUCCAUAUUGUCGGAAUGUUGCCAACACCACCGUGCAAAAAGAGAGGCAGCAUAUUCAAGUGAUGUGGACUCUGAAACGCAGCCUACUGCUUUGAACUUCGUUUCUGGCCAUGACAUGCUUUUUCGUGGAAGGUCAUAUUUAUUUCACGGCAACUGUGCUCGCUCUCCAUGGCUUAUUUCAAAGAUUCAGAUCACGUGAGACAGAUAAUUCCAGCUCUUUAUUGUCCUUGGAACCCUGGUAUAACUUCAUAUAGUAAAGAACACCAGUCUCAGUAUAAAGCUGAAAAAUGUGUACAUGUGUAAACACCUACAGCUGAUUGCACUUUCUGAAGAUGACGACAACCUCUCCAAUCCCAUGUGGCUUUCUCACAAGGUGACUGGCCACUCCGCCAUCAAGAAUAGAGUCUGUGUCCCCUCCUUUUGAACCUGGCAGGCCUUUGUAUCACCUCAGCAAUGAAGUGUGGAGGUAAUAUGCUGUGUGACCGUCAAGGUUGCGUCGUACGAAGAGAUAGGGCCUCUUCUUGGCUCUCUCGCAGGCCACUUGCCCUUGGAGCCACCAUGCUGUGAGGAAGCCCAGUCCCACAGAGAGGCCCACGUGGAGAGAAACCAAGGUCCUGGGCCCUCAACCCCAACUAAGCUCCCAGCCCACAGCCAGCCCCAAUUGCCUUCUUGGAAGUGGGUCCUCUAGUCCUCAGUCAGGCCACCCCAGAUGACUGCAUGGAGCUUUCCCUGCCAAGCCCUGCCCAAGUUGCAGAUUCUUGAGAAAAACAAAAGAUUGUUGUUUUAAGCCACUAAGUUUUGGGCUGGUUUGUUACACAGUAAUGAAUAAUCAGAACUAUAACUACCACCAGUUUUCGAUAUAGAACAUUUCUGUUCCCCAGAAGGUUCCCUUGUACCCUGUCUUAGUCAACAACCCCCCAAAAGAUAACCACUAUUCUUCCUCUAGCACUGCAUCUUAGGUUUGCCUAUUGUGAAGUUUCAUAUAAAUGGAAUCAUGAUGUAUUC